UACGUAAGAGACUAGUGUUAAUCAUCCAUAAAUAGGUUUAAAGGGUACUCAGAUGGUAAAUUUACCCUAAAAUAACAUUAGGGAUCAAUUUUCUAGUAGUUUAUGUAAGAAGGUACGUACUCUAGAGUGUAGAGAUUAAAUUCAUUAAUACCUAGGGGACUUUUCAAGGCGAAGGCUAUCUUUUAUGUAAAAACUGACAUCGAAGGACGAAGGCACAGGGCACGAACAGG
rnacentral:rRNA from 1 species